GUCACAAUUGUCUGGAAAUACAUAUUUUUUUCUACUUCAAUACUCAGCCCAUCAUGGAGAUGUGAUUACACCAUAGUAUAUAUUGAUGGAUGUGUUUUAUAGUUGAAUGUUCCCCGCUGAAUUUCAAAUUAUAAAUGAUUUGAAAAAUGAUGCUGUAGCCCUAUUGAAAGCUGGCACUGAUCUGCAUUAAUAUCACAGUACAGAAAUCAGCGAACAAAAAAUGUAUAAUGCUGCACUGAUUUGAAUAAUUCUUUUUGGAAUAAGAGAAAUUGGAUAAGAAGGAAAACGAUGCUUCAGAAUUUUCUAUUGGCUCUGUAUUGACUCAAAUUCAGGAGGGUAAGGAACGGGUUAUCGCAAAAGUGAGAAGAAGUGGUCUACUUAUGAUAGGGAGUUGUAUGCUAUUGUGUGGAGUGUCAGGCAUUUUAAGCAUUAUUUUCGUGGUAACCAUUCUUAUUGUUACAGGACACAAACCCUUGACAGGUUUACAAGUGUUACAUAUAGAAAAUGAUGUGACAGGUCGUCAAACACGAUGGAUUCUUGAUUUGAAUAUGUUCAAUUGGAAGAUUGUGUACAAAUCGGGUAAGACACAUCUGAAUGCGGAUUCAUUAUCCCGUAGACCCCGAUCCUAGUUUAACAGUUGAUCAAGCUUCUGAAGAGUGAGAUGGAUGUUAUAGUGGAAGAUACUGUAGUACCUGUAAAGGGAAUAGACUGUAAAGUUCAGGAUGUGCAUGCCCUAACUUCUUGUGAUGGGCAUGUUCAUAAUCAACGUAAUAUUAAAUUAAUUAAUGAACCGGAUAGAGACCCUGAGUUACAGGAGUUCAAAAUGUGUGUCCAGUCACAUGGUACAGUAAACCCCAUCAUUUCGCAGGCAACUCCCUGUAUUAUGAACGAUUAUGUAGGCAGUUUCAUCGUUGUUAAAUAUUUAUGAUGGUUUAAUGGUCCGCAUUAAUCAUGAUAGACGUGGGUGAAAUUGUACAGUCCAUCAUACCUAGUUCUCUACAAAGGGAAGUAUUAACAUCAUUUCAUGGUUCUAAUUCAGGACAUUAUAAUUCUGACAAGACUCAUUUCAGCUAAUUGUUACUGGCCUAUAUAUAGCACGUGAUGUGAAGAAAUUUUGUUUGGAAUGUCUACCGUGUCAGGCAAGACAAAGACCUAUCCCUCGAUUACGUGCUCCAAUGGAUACAGUGCCAGCAAACCAUCCAUUUGAGAGAAUUGCAGCCGAUAUUUUACAGAGUUGCCUGUGUCAGCCAGAGGUAGUCGUUACGUGUUAGUAGUAGGUGAUUACUUUA